rnacentral:rRNA from 1 species
CCUACGGGAGGCAGCAGUGGGGAAUAUUGCACAAUGGGGGAAACCCUGAUGCAGCGACGCCGCGUGAGUGAAGAAGUAUUUCGGUACGUAAAGCUCUAUCAGCAGUGAAGAAAAUGACGGUACCUGACUAAGAAGCCCCGGCUAACUACGUGCCAGCAGCCGCGGUAAUACGUAGGGGGCAAGCGUUAUCCGGAUUUACUGGGUGUAAAGGGAGCGUAGACGGCAGCGCAAGUCUGGAGUGAAAUCCCAUGGCUUAACCAUGGAACUGCUUUGGAAACUGUGCAGCUAGAGUGCAGGAGAGGUAAGCGGAAUUCCUAGUGUAGCGGUGAAAUGCGUAGAUAUUAGGAGGAACACCAGUGGCGAAGGCGGCUUACUGGACUGUAACUGACGUUGAGGCUCGAAAGCGUGGGGAGCAAACAGGAUUAGAUACCCCUGUAGUC